rnacentral:rRNA from 1 species
UACGAAGGGGGGCUAGCGUUGCUCGGAAUCACUGGGCGUAAAGCGCACGUAGGCGGACUUUUAAGUCAGGGGUGAAAUCCUGGAGCUCAACUCCAGAACUGCCUUUGAUACUGGAAGUCUUGAGUUCGAGAGAGGUGAGUGGAACUGCGAGUGUAGAGGUGAAAUUCGUAGAUAUUCGCAAGAACACCAGUGGCGAAGGCGGCUCACUGGCUCGAUACUGACGCUGAGGUGCGAAAGCGUGGGGAGCAAACAGG